AAGGGGUUUGNUCAUGGCUCAGAACGAACGCUGGCGGCAUGCCUAACACAUGCAAGUCGAACGAGACCUUCGGGUCUAGUGGCGCACGGGUGCGUAACGCGUGGGAAUCUGCCCUUCGGUUGGGAAUAACACAGAGAAAUUUGUGCUAAUACCUUAUAAUGUCUUCGGACCAAAGAUUUAUCGCCGAGGGAUGAGCCCGCGUAGGAUUAGGUAGUUGGUGGGGUAAUGGCCUACCAAGCCGACGAUCCUUAGCUGGUCUGAGAGGAUGAUCAGCCACACUGGGACUGAGACACGGCCCAGACUCCUACGGGAGGCAGCAGUGGGGAAUAUUGGACAAUGGGCGAAAGCCUGAUCCAGCAAUGCCGCGUGAGUGAUGAAGGCCUUAGGUUGUAAAGCUCUUUUACCAGGGAUGAUAAUGACAGUACCUGGAGAAUAAGCUCCGGCUAACUCCGUGCCAGCAGCCGCGGGUAAUACGGAGGGAGCUUAGCGUUGUUCGGAAUUACUGGGCGUAAAGCGCGCGUAGGCGGCUUGUUCAAAUCAGAAGGUGAAAGCCCGGGGCU
rnacentral:rRNA from 1 species